rnacentral:rRNA from 1 species
CCCUUAGAUGUCCUGGGCUGCACGCGCGCUACACUGAUGUGUCCAGUAAGCACCUAACCUAUUCCGAGAGGAGCGGGUAACCUUAGCAAAGCACAUCGUGAUGGGGAUAGAUUAUUGCAAUUAUUAGUCUUGAACGAGGAAUUCCUAGUAAGCACAAGUCAUCAGCUUGUGUUGAUUACGUCCCUGCCCUUUGUACACACCGCCCGUCGCUCCUACCGAUUGAAUGUUCCGGUGAGCUCUUCGGACUGCGCGGUCUGCAGUUUCUGCGUUCCGUGCGGAAAGUUGUGCAAACCUUAACAUUUAGAGGAAGGAGAAGUCGUAAC